rnacentral:rRNA from 1 species
AUUGAACGCUGGCGGCAGGCCUAACACAUGCAAGUCGAACGGUAACAGGAAGCAGCUUGCUUCUUUGCUGACGAGUGGCGGACGGGUGAGCAAUGUCUGGGAAACUGCCUGAUGGAGGGGGAUAACUACUGGAAACGGUAGCUAAUACCGCCUAACGUCGCAAGACCAAAGAGGGGGGCCUUCGGGCCUCUUGCCAUCGGAUGGGCCCAGAUGGGAUUAGCUUGUGGGUGGGGUAACGGCACACCUAGGCGACGAUCCCUAGCUGGUCUGAGAGGAUGACCAGCCACACUGGAACUGAGACACGGUCCAGACUCCUACGGGAGGCAGCAGUGGGGAAUAUUGCACAAUGGGCGCAAGCCUGAUGCAGCCAUGCCGCGUGUAUGAAGAAGGCCUUCGGGUUGUAAAGUACUUUCAGCGGGGAGGAAGGGAGGAAAGUUAAUACCUUUCCUCAUUGACGUUACCCGCAGAAGAAGCACCGGCUAACUCCGUG